ACAAGAAUUGGAUAGGGGUCUGUAUAGAAACAAAAUACUUGGGCCAAAGGCCCAAGCUUCCCAGAAAUCUCAGAUCGGGUUCAACGUUCCCAUUUGAGUAAGAAUCCCUUCGGAAGUUAUGAACUGCACGUUUUUUCUUGUUUUGUUAUCGUCUUCAGUGAUUCUGUUAUAGUUUUAAGAGGUCUUUGGUCGAAGAUAUUUGAUGGUUGAAAGUGAGGAAGUUGUUGAGUUGGGGGUGAAGUUUGGAGGUUGAAGAAGGUUGAAAAACAGGAUGUUGAAAGGUUCUCUUUGGGAUUUUCUGUUAUGAGUUUUUGAUCCUGCAUAGUUGAGGAAGAGGUUAGAGAUGAUGGUAGUAUGAAGAUGAUGUCGUGAGGGUUGUGAAGAAGUGGUGAGGGUGAAGAUGGUUUUCAAUUGUGAUGGAGGAUUGUUGGAGAGUGAGGGUGAAGAAGUGCAGUGCGGUUUUUUGAAGAAUGAGGAGAGGAGACAUCCUGAAUCAGAAUGGAAAUCCGUAUUCGUCCAUGCGUGUUGCAGUCGCUAUCGUCGUAUUUGGCGUGUAUUUGUGAGUUGUGUCGCCGUUUAGCUUACUCCUGCGGUUUGGAAUGUCGUCAUUUCGUGCGUAUCAGAUGCUUAUCCAUUGUCGCCGCUUGGUUUUGCAGCUGUUGCAGCUUCCGUUACCGUCUCACAGCUGCUAUUUACUCUGCAUAAUUCGUUUGCUCUUGUAGUUUGUGGCGGUUUGUGGCUUCUGCAUACUCAUUCUCUUUUAUUUUUGUAUUCAAAUGGAUGGAUUAAUUGGUUUAUGGGCUUAAAUGAAGUUGGAAAGUUGAAUGACUAAUGGGCUUAAAUGAUAUUGAUUUUUCUUAUGUGGUUUGUAAAUUGGGUUUGAAUGUAAACAUGUGGUUUAUGAUUGUAAUUGACAUGUUAUGUAUUAGAAUGAAAUUUGUAUGAAAGUGUGAAAAUUAAUGGUUGAAUUAUAAGGUGAUUUAGAAAUUGGAUGAA